rnacentral:rRNA from 1 species
UACGUAGGGGGCGAGCGUUGUCCGGGUUUAUUGGGCGUAAAGAGCUCGUAGGCGGUUCGGUAAGUCGGAUGUGAAAUCUCCACGCUCAACGUGGAGGGGCCAUUCGAUACUGCCGUGACUCGAGUCCGGUAGGGGAGUGUGGAAUUCCCGGUGUAGCGGUGAAAUGCGCAGAGAUCGGGAGGAACACCCGUAGCGAAGGCGGCACUCUGGGCCGGUACUGACGCUGAGGAGCGAAAGCGUGGGGAGCAAACAGG